rnacentral:rRNA from 1 species
UGGGGAAUAUUGGACAAUGGGGGCAACCCUGAUCCAGCAAUGCCGCGUGUGUGAAGAAGGCCUGAGGGUUGUAAAGCACUUUCAGUGGGGAGGAGAGUUGACGAGUUAAUAGCUUGUUAACUGGACGUUACCCACAGAAGAAGCACCGGCUAACUCCGUGCCAGCAGCCGCGGUAAUACGGAGGGUGCAAGCGUUAAUCGGAAUUACUGGGCGUAAAGAGUGCGUAGGUGGUUGUUUAAGUUAUCUGUGAAAUCCCUGGGCUCAACCUGGGCAGGUCAGAUAAGACUGAAUGACUCGAGUAUAGGAGAGGGUAGUGGAAUUUCCGGUGUAGCGGUGAAAUGCGUAGAGAUCGGAAGGAACACCAGUGGCGAAGGCGGCUACCUGGCCAAAUACUGACACUGAGGCACGAAAGCGUGGGGAGCAAACAGG